rnacentral:RNase_P_RNA from 1 species
UAAGCAGACCGCCUUAUCGCUCUGAAUUAUUUUGGAGAGGAAAGUCCGGACACCACAGGGCAGCAUAGUGGGUAACACCCAUCACCUCCUUUUGGGAGGGAGGACAAGUGCAACAGAAAGAAUGUACAGGUAAUGCUGUAGUGAAAUCAGGUAAACUCUAUGCGGUGCAAUGCCAUGUAUACCGGCUGUUAAGGAUCGCCCGUCCGUUGCCGGAGGGUAGGCAGCUAAAGGUCUUUGGUAACAAAGGCUUCAGAUAAAUGAUAAGGGCUCUGGUCUUUCGGGAUCAGAGAACAGAAUCCGGCUUACAGGUCUGCUUUUUAU